AGGCCGAGAAGAGGUGCGUACAUCAGGGACUUUUGAGCUUAGGCCGCCAAAGCCAGAGUUAAGUCGAAAGAGAGGGGAUGUCACGCCGAGGUAAUAUUGUCAUUUUGGCGCAAUGUUGCCGGUUGCAGGGUUUGAACACCCGCAACUGUCACCUUUCAGGUGGAGAGCUUCUGGUGUU
rnacentral:ncRNA from 2 species